AUACUUACCUGGCAGGGGAGAUACCAUGGUCAUGAAGGUGGUUUCCCAGGGCGGAGAUUACCUGUGGCACUCUGAGUGUGCGGAUGCCUGCAAUUCCCCCAAAUGUGGAGGACUCCAUUGCAGAAUUUGUGGUAGUGGGGGACUGUAUUCAUACUUUCUCUUA